GAUGAACGCUGGCGGUGUGCCUAAUACAUGCAAGUCGAGCGAACGGACGAGAAGCUUGCUUCGCUGAUGUUAGCGGCGGACGGGUGAGUAACACGUGGAUAACCUACCUAUAAGACUGGGAUAACUUCGGGAAACCGUAGCUAAUACCAGAUAAUAUUUUGAACCGCAUGGUUCAAAAGUGAAAGACGGUCUUGCUGUCACUUAUAGAUGGAUCCGCGCUGCAUUAGCUAGUUGGUAAGGUAACGGCUUACCAAGGCAACGAUGUAUAGCUGACCUGACAGGGUGAUCAGCCACACUGGAACUGAGACACGGUCCAGACUACUACGGGAGGCAGCAGUAGGGAAUCUUGCGCAAUGGGCGAAAGCCUGACGGAGCAAGGCCGAGUGAGUGAUGAGGGUCUUCGGAUCGUAAAACUCUGUUAUUAGGGAAGAACAUGUGUGUAAGUAACUGUGCACAUCUUGACGGUACCUAAUCAGAAAGCCCCGGCUAACUACGUG
rnacentral:rRNA from 1 species